AGCCCUGCAUCCCACAAUGAGAGCAAGCUGGGAGUGAGUAUAUUUUCUGUCAUUCUGUGUACAGCACUGGAAUACUCCUCUCAGAAGAACUGGAGAGCUUAAUUCUUGCUGCUCAUCUACUGCCCUUGCCCCAGCACCCAGCUUCUAAACUCAGAGAACACUUAUGAUGGCAAAAGGCAUCUUUUGAAAGAUUUUAAAGUCAGGAGAGGUCAUGUUCAUGAAGUGCCUGUUCCCUGUCAAUUCUUCAACAUAAUAUUUAGUCAUGUGAGAAUAUUCCCACCUGAAAGCUCCAGUUCACUAAGGAAAAAGCAAACAAGACUGCUGCUUAUAAAAAUGAGAUUGCCUGGGAACAACUGUGGUUCUUCAUUCUGUCAGAUGUGGAGCCUCUACAAGGGACCUGCUAGGAUCAUAGAACACAUUCCAGGGCUUCGCAAGGGGUUGGUGGCACUGAGAUUCCUGUAAUUACAGCCUUAUUUGAAGGGCUGUGAACACUCCUAGGGAUGUAAUUUGUGAUAAAGAGAAAUGCUUUAAAUCAAAACUAUGUCCUCCACUGGGUCACAGUUACAGUUGUUCAAUAAUAUUUUCUAAAAAAUUCUGACAAUUAAGAUUGUAAUUUUCAUAUCAAAAGUCCUCAGGCCACCAUCCUUCAUCCAGAUAUUUUUAUUUUCUUUUUUGAAAUUGUAACUUCAGUAUAAUUAACACAGAGUGCUAGU